CGGGAUGUAGCGCAGCCAGGCAGCGCGCCUGCUCGGGGAGCAGGAGGCCGCGGGAUCGAAGCCCGCCAUCCCGA
rnacentral:tRNA from 1 species